AUUGAACGCUGGCGGCAGGCCUAACACAUGCAAGUCGAGCGGCAGCGGGAAAGUAGCUUGCUACUUUUGCCGGCGAGCGGCGGACGGGUGAGUAAUGCCUGGGAAAUUGCCCAGUCGAGGGGGAUAACAGUUGGAAACGACUGCUAAUACCGCAUACGCCCUACGGGGGAAAGCAGGGGACCUUCGGGCCUUGCGCGAUUGGAUAUGCCCAGGUGGGAUUAGCUAGUUGGUUAGGUAAUGGCUCACCAAGGCGACGAUCCCUAGCUGGUCUGGGAGGAUGAUCAGCAACACUGGAACGGAGGCACGGUCCAGCCUACUACGGGAGGCAGCAGUGGGGAAUAUUGCACAAUGGGGGAAGCCCUGAUGCAGCCAUGCCGCGUGUGUGAAGAAGGCCUUCGGGUUGUAAAGCUCUUUCGGCGGGGAAGAAAUAGCAACGGCUAAUAUCCGUUGUUGAUGACGGUACCCGCAUAAGAAGCACCGGCUAACUACGUGCCAGCCGCCGCUGUAACAC
rnacentral:rRNA from 1 species